rnacentral:rRNA from 1 species
CUCCGUAGGUGGCAAGCGUUGUCCGGAAUUAUUGGGCGUAAAGCGCGCGCAGGUGGUUCCUUAAGUCUGAUGUGAAAGCCCCCGGCUCAACCGGGGAGGGUCAUUGGAAACUGGGGAACUUGAGUGCAGAAGAGGAUAGUGGAAUUCCAAGUGUAGCGGUGAAAUGCGUAGAGAUUUGGAGGAACACCAGUGGCGAAGGCGACUGUCUGGUCUGUAACUGACACUGAGGCGCGAAAGCGUGGGGAGCAAACAGGAUUAGAUACCCUGGUAGUCCACGCCGUAAACGAUGAGUGCUAAGUGUUGGGGGGUUUCCGCCCCUCAGUGCUGCAGCUAACGCAUUAAGCACUCCGCCUGGGGAGUACGGUCGCAAGACUGAAACUCAAAUGAAUUGACGGGG